GCCGGGCACGGUGGCGCGUGCCUGUAGUCUCAGCUACUCGGGAGGCUGAGGUGGGAGGAUCGCUUGAGCCCAGGAAUUCUGGACUGCAGUACGCUAUGCCGAUCGGGUGUCUGCACUAAGUUCGGCAUCAAUAUGGUGACCUCCCGAGAGCAGGGGACCACCAGGCCUAAGGAGGGGUGAACCGGCCCAGGUCGGAAAUGGAGCAGGUCAAAACUCCCGUGCUGAUCAGUAGUGGGAUCCUGCCUGUGAAUAGCCACUGCACUCCAGCCUGGACAACAUAGCGAGACCCCGUCUCU
rnacentral:SRP_RNA from 1 species